UACGUAGGGGGCAAGCGUUGUCCGGAAGUCAUUGGGCGUAAGAAGCGUGUAGGACGGCCCGGUAAGUCCGCUGUAAAAGUCAAAGGCUCGAACCUUUGAAUGUCAGUGGAUACUGCCGGGCCUAGAGUCCGGAAGAGGCGAGUGGAACUCCUGGUGGUAGCGGUGGAAUGCGCAGAUAUCAGGAAGAACACCAACGGCGAAGGCAGCUCGCUGGGACGGUACUGACGCUGAGAACGCGGAAAGCGUGGGGAGCGAACAGG
rnacentral:rRNA from 1 species